rnacentral:lncRNA from 1 species
GGGUUUCUCCCCUUAAUCAGGGUAGAAACAUAAUGCGGAAAAGUCUGGAUCCACCAAAAAGAAAAAGAAAAAAGAAAGAAAAAUACCAACAAUAGCAACUUAAAAACAAAAACAUAACAAACCAGUUGCCAUCAGCCCAAAGUGGUAGUAGUAGCAGCAGCCGGCGCGUGUGAUCCACUUACUUGUCCGACUCUUGUGACAUGUUUGGUCCAAUGAACUUGCUCCCCUUUUCCUGGAGCCUCAGCCUCUGGUGAAACUGGACUUUCAAGUCUGUGCAGGUGAAGGUGUGUGAGAGCGCCCGAGAUGGCAGAACAAGAGCUACAUGGCAAUGGGCAGACACAGAGCAGAAAGUGGCGGACUUGGGCGGCCACAGGUACAAGCCCGAGGGACGAGCUGCGCGAUGAUUGGCUGGGGAGCUGCCUCAGGUGAGCUGCCAUUGGCAGAGGCGCGCUCAGGUAAGGCCCUUCUCCAAGUGCAGGUAACUCACUCCGAAGUUUACCUGAGUGGAGCGGCGGCAUGCUUGCAGCUCGGCGGCAGCCUGUGAGAGCUGAGGGUCAGUUCUUCGAGUAGAUCUCAAGCUGCGUUUUCCUCCUUCUCCAAAGCAGGGAUGGGAAGGUGGAGGCUACUGGUUGAAGAGAAGAAAGGGGUUGGGGGAAUGCAACACCUGCAAACACUAGGGAUUGUGGGUCGAGCGGAAGAGCUAAUGAGAGCUGAGCUCAGGUAUCCCAAGUCAACCAGAAUCAAAUGCGCAGUACGCCACAAGGCAUUUAAUGCCCGCAGUAACAGGGCUGUUUGACAGUGGCAGAAGAGGACGGGACUAAAGUUACUUUGUGCUGAGAGGGGGAAAGAAGCACAAAGUUUGGUCUGUUGCGUAAUUGAAUUUUUAACACUCUUAUCCACAACAAACGCUUUUUCGUGUCCUGCUGUGUAAAAGACAUCAGAUAUAUUACAGAUUUUCACACAGGUGAGCAUCCUUUUACGAGCUGGGCAGGUGGGGAGUGCCGUGGUUUUGAUGGAGUGAGGAGAUUUGGUUGAAUGAACGCUAAGAUGGCCAGACGCACCUCUUCGAUCUCAACUCUGCAGCCUGGGAUUCCAGAGCUGCAAACAACCGCUGAAUUCGUUCUGUAAACCUGUUGUCAUUUGACGUUUCCAGGCAGGCAUCAACAUUUACAUUGUAAUUCAAUAGACGCUACUACUACAAAGGAGCUUUAUUCUUCCAGCUUAAUAUGGUUGCUACGGAAACACUGCAGGAUGAAACUGACUUUUUUUGUGGUAAUGUUUCUCCUGGUUGGGAACAACGCAAAUUAGCAAAGGUGUAAUUUAUAACCGCUGCUACCAAAGAGCGAAGUAUUUGUGGAAGUUCUGACUGGAAUCUAGCUCGUACAUAUGGAUUGUGGAAAUAAAGGAGGACGUGGAAAGCUUGCCAUAUUUUAUUUCAAGUUAAUACUAAAGCUGCCAGACUUAAUACAACUUUCUUUUAAUCUUUAUGGAUCACAUAUUUUCUGAAAAUUGUAUGAUACAGAGCCUUUAUGACCGAAGAUGGAACUGAAAUGCCAUCCUGUUAUCAAGAAGGAGCAUAAGAACAGCUAGAGGAGAGAUGCAAGAUUGAAAUAUCAUGGAAUGGACUAUGGUUUAUCCUCUCUUCUGGUCGUAAAACACCAUCAGGUUGUAAUUGUUCAGAUCAGAAAUUCCCAAGCUUUUAAUAAAGCCUUCAGGGAGCCUCAUUCAGGGGCAACUGCCCUGUCAUUGGGAAUAAGUAGAGUGCGUGGGAAAUAUGUUGUCCUUGGUAAAACCUCCCCUUAGGAAAGAAGGCAAGAGAACUGAGUAAGAUAAUGAUGGGCCAAAAGGAGAAAAUAGAGAAAGAGGCUGCAUGCUACAGAGAACAAGAGCAAAAUUCAAAAGCCUGGCACAGUUGGGCUUGAAACCAUCUGUGUAAAGGGGACUAAUAAUGCUGACCUCACU